GAUGAACGCUAGCGAUAGGCCUAACACAUGCAAGUCGAGGGGCAUCACAUGAAGUAGCAAUACGGAUGGUGGCGACCGGCGCACGGGUGAGUAACACGUAUGCAACCUGCCUUCAACAAGGGGAUAACCCGUUGAAAGACGGACUAAUACCCUAUAACACAGGGGUCCCGCAUGGGAAUAUUGUUAAAGGACAACCGGUUGAAGAUGGGCAUGCGUUCCAUUAGCUAGUUGGCGGGGUAACGGCCCACCAAGGCAACGAUGGAUAGGGGAACUGAGAGGUUUAUCCCCCACACUGGUACUGAGACACGGACCAGACUCCUACGGGAGGCAGCAGUGAGGAAUAUUGGUCAAUGGACGCAAGUCUGAACCAGCCACGUCGCGUGAAGGAAGACGGCCCUACGGGUUGUAAACUCUUUUAUACGGGAAUAAAGUG
rnacentral:rRNA from 1 species